AUAACCAAACUAAGUUAACACUAAUACUUAGGACAUAACAACACAUAUAAACGUGUGGGCUUAAGUAACCCAACAACAAACAAAACAUUCUUCUCUUGGGCCUAUACCAUCAAAGGCCCAAAACACUUCUUAACCCAAAAACACUUUGACUUCUUCUUCUUUCUUUAAUCGACGUCACCAACGCUUCUUCUCUUCUUCACUAGAUUCUGGGUUUCUUUACACCAAUCCACAUCUUCUCUUCUUUGUUCUUCAAACCUUUAUCAUUGAUGCUUGUAUUCUUCUUUGCAGAUUCAAUUGGAGAGAUCAAUCUCAACACUCCCUCUUGAUUUCUUCGAUUGAAUCCCAUAGAUGAAUUUAGGGAUUUGAGUUUUGGUACCUUUAGUUCAUUGCGGCUUAGCCAAUGUUUCAUCGGAGGGGCUCGUUUUAGAGCGUCAGCAUAGCUCAUGGGAGUGUUCAGUUUCACCAUCUCUCUCUUGCUUGAGGUAUCAAUGGUACUUGCAUCUUCAGAAUUUCGGGAGACCGAGCAUUGAAUUCAUUAACCUUUUUGGUGAUCUCUAUGGUGGCUUUUCUCAAUUCACCAUCGGUUCUUCCUUCAACAGAUUUCAGCUUGCUUUGUUGGUUUUCUUGAUUCAUACUUGAUUCUCCCGUCUGGAUGAUGUUUGGUUUUCCAGACACAACUUCCUUCUUUCAGCGUUGGACUUUUCUUCUUGACAUACUACAGCCAUAGUUGCUUCAUUUCUUGUGGGCCAUUGGAUAUGGAAGCUUUUCCCGAUCAUCUUUAUGUCAGCAACAAAUCUUCCAGUUUGAUCACGAAUGACACAGCUCCCUUCAAAGAAGUUAAUCUCGUAUCCACGAUCAAUCAUUUGAGAGACGCUCAGGAGAUUCUUGGUAAUUUUGGGUACUAGGAAAACAUCACGAAUGAUUCUUUUCCCAUUGGUGGUUUCUACCUCAAUAUCUCCCUUGCCUUUUGUCAUCAGCACAUCUCCAUUUCCUAUACGAAUAGGUACAUUGAAGCUGGUGUCAAGUGAACAUAUGGUAGUUCUCCUCCUUCACUUCUUCUUUCUCUUGGCGGGCAUAGAAGGCACCUUCAGAAUCUUCUUCAUCUUCUGGAAAGAACUUCUUUUCGUGUGCCUCCAAUGAACCAAUUAGUUCAGCAUAAGUGACAGUCUUCAGGUCUUUGGUUUCUUCCAUCAAUGAGGACAAGGAGACAUAGCUUUUGGGCAUAGAAGCAAGCAUCUUAACAACCAAAUCAAAAUUUUCAAACUCUCUCCUUAGUGACUGAAGUCUAACAGUUUUGACUUUUUCGUUACCUUGGUAAGAGUGCUCCAGAAGUAUCCAUGCUUGAUGUGCCGAGGUUGCAGAGAGGAUCUUGUCAAAGACCACAUCAGCGACGGCAAGUUGAAUGAGUUGGAGCGCAGCAGUAUCUUUGGUUUUUAGAGCUUUCAGGUUUGCAGCUUCUUUGCCUUUAUCUGCUCCUGGAGUUGUCUCUGGUAGUUGAGCAGUCGGUUCUGGGAUUCCAUCUUUAACAACUUCCCAGAGAUCUUUAUUCAUGAGAGUUGUUCUCAUUCUCGCAGCCCAGAAUACAUAAUUCUGGCCAUCAAACACAGCAACAAGUUGUGAUGAUUGCAGCAGGUUCCUAGGAUAAGAUGAGCUCUGAUACCAUGUUGAACUUUCUGAAUUUAUUCAAUUGGAGAGAUCAAUCUCAACAACCUUGCUAGGG